GGUUCGGCAGCUCGAGGGUCGAGCGUCCGGUUGAAGCCCGGAAUGUGAAGGUUCGAGUCCUUCCCGAACCA
rnacentral:tRNA from 1 species